CGCAUUGGUAUGUCCUAAAUAAUUGUGAUGAAAUUCGGCAAUAUUUAGAUGAGCACAUGGAGUUAUUGCAACAACAAAAUCAUGACAAUUUGGAAAAAAAACAAGAAGAAUUGUUUCCUGGAUGGUUUGCUUCACAUGAGUUUUCAUUUAACCAAAGAGAGUUGGAAGUGUAUAUUGAGUCAAGAAUGUUAUUUGGGUGUCACGUGAGUUUUUUUUAUUAUUUCUUCCACAU